GGAGAGGUGUCCGAGUGGUUGAAGGAGCACGCUUGGAAAGCGUGUAUGCAGGAAACUGUAUCGUGGGUUCGAAUCCCACUCUCUCCA
rnacentral:tRNA from 1 species